rnacentral:rRNA from 1 species
AUUGAACGCUGGCGGCAGGCCUAACACAUGCAAGUCGAGCGGGGUUUUCGGACCUAGCGGCGGACGGGUGAGUAAUGCGUAGGAAGCUACCCGAUAGAGGGGGAUACCAGUUGGAAACGACUGUUAAUACCGCAUAAUGUCUACGGACCAAAGUGUGGGACCUUCGGGCCACAUGCUAUCGGAUGCGCCUACGUGGGAUUAGCUAGUUGGUGGGGUAAUGGCUCACCAAGGCGACGAUCCCUAGCUGGUUUGAGAGGAUGAUCAGCCACACUGGAACUGAGACACGGUCCAGACUCCUACGGGAGGCAGCAGUGGGGAAUAUUGGACAAUGGGCGCAAGCCUGAUCCAGCCAUGCCGCGUGUGUGAAGAAGGCCUUCGGGUUGUAAAGCACUUUCAGUAGGGAGGAAGGGUUAAGUGUUAAUAGUACUUAACUUUGACGUUACCUACAGAAGAAGCACCGGCUAACUCUGUGCCAGCAGCCGCCGUAAUAC